AUUGAACGCUGGCGGCAUGCCUUACACAUGCAAGUCGAACGGCAGCACGGGGGCAACCCUGGUGGCGAGUGGCGAACGGGUGAGUAACAUAUCGGAACAUACCCUAGAGUGGGGAUAACGUAGCGAAAGUUACGCUAAUACCGCAUACGAUCUAAGGAUGAAAGUGGGGGAUCUUCGGACCUCAUGCUCAUGGAGUGGCCGAUAUCUGAUUAGCUAGUUGGUGAGGUAAAGGCUCACCAAGGCGACGAUCAGUAGCUGGUUUGAGAGAACGACCAGCCACACUGGAACUGAGACACGGUCCAGACUCCUACGGAGGCAGCAGUGGGGAAGUUUUGGACAAUGGGGCGAACCCUGAUCCAGCAAUGCCGCGUGAGUGAAGAAGGCCUU
rnacentral:rRNA from 1 species